UGUUAUCUAGAAGGUGACCUACUGUAAACUU
rnacentral:piRNA from 1 species